rnacentral:lncRNA from 1 species
AAAAAAAAGAAAAAAGAAAAAAAAAGAAAUCAAUCAAAAAUUAAAAUCAAACAAGAGAAUGAUGUUUUCUGAACUACGUUUGACUUGAUUCUUGUUAUGAUAUGAUACGUAGACAGCCCUACUCCGGGGUUUGAUCCAACCAAAAGAAAAGUCAAAUUACCCAGAAUAAGAUAAAAUUGGGGCAAAAAGUUUAUUUCCUUAAUAAGAGUCGAUUCCAAAAGUUGUAUGUUUCACCCAAUGUUAUAUAAAUGUUUCAGCCUCAUGCCGACCUUUCUUUCUAACCCCUAUCCAAAAGCCAAGUUACAACCAAAUAAAGACCUUCAGAUCAAUCUUUGAGUAUGUCAAGGCUAAACAUGUUAUGAGUGCAUGAUAUUUCAUAUUUUGGGUGUUUAUUUAAAAAAAAUGAGAGAGUUUUAUUGGUGAAAACCCUUUUGGGCACCAUAAGACGAAUGUGAGCUGAGACAGAAAUGAAAAGGAU